AUGGACGGCGCGGUGUCCAUGGCACCAAGCACGCAACCGUCCACCACUGGAACCAACCAGCAGGGCAUGGGAUGGGGGUGUCUCGUCACCAUUCACCAACCAGUCGGCUACAUGCUGCGCGCAGCGCUAGGUUCGACAGCGACGCGCCUCCCCAUUUUAGCUCCACGUCUCGGUGGCGUGCCCCUCGCCCAGACCCGUCGCUGCACAAGAAAUGUAUACCAACACUUGAACAAAACACGGCUGGUGAGGGAGCAGGCAGGUAGGCUCUUCUUGGAAGCUCUUCAAGAAAUAUCUCGGGGCCAAGUACACAGCCAUUAUCAUCCAAGUGCAUUGCCAUUAUUUGUUAUUUUGGCUCUACCAGUAUUAUUACCCCUUCUAUCUUUAUUCACUACCAUCUCUGGAAACCUCUCUGAAUCUGCUCUUUCAGAAGUCCAGAGAGCCUUUCUUCUUCUUCUUCUUAUUCUUCUUCUUGACCUUUUGCGCAGCUUUGGUCCUGGCUAUGCGCUUUUCCAAAGGCCUACAGGGCUAGGAGGGCGCAUGCAUGCAUGCACUGAUGCACACAUGGCUGUCAAGACAGGCAGGUCAUAG
rnacentral:rRNA from 1 species